CAAGGAAUUGUCUAGAAUCAUAUCUGUGUCUGUAGAAGAGCAUUUGCCUCCUCAAUCCCCUGAUGUUUGAAGCUUUGCUGCCAAUGCAGGUGAUGUGAAAGUAAAAGAAGCAAUUUGAGGCAACAAAAGAAGACAAAAUGCAUAAUUCUCAUAUCGAUAUUAAAAGCA